rnacentral:rRNA from 2 species
GGCCUGUUGGGUAUUAUGUCAGGUCGGGCCUGCUCAGUGUUAAAUAUUAACAGCCGCGGUAACUUGACUGUGCAAAGGUAGCAUAAUCAUUAGUUUUUUAAUUGGAAGCUGGAAUGAAAGGUUUGACGGGAAUAUGCUGUCUUAAUUUAUAUUUUUGAAUUUUAGUUUAUUGUGAAGACGCAAUAAUAUAUUUAUUUGACGAGAAGACCCCGUAAAGCUUAUUAGAUUAUAGCUUUUUGGUUUUAUUUUUUGUUUUGUUGGGGCAACAGGCAUGAUAAAAUAAUGGCUGAGUAGGGCAGUAUACUUUUUUAUUCUUGGUAAUUAGAUCCUGAAUAUUUUGAAAUUAAGAUAAGCUACUUUGGGGAUAACAGCGUAAUUUUAUUGGAGAGUUCUUAUUGAUAAUAAAGUUUGCGACCUCGAUGUUGAAUUAAGAUACCAGCUGGCUGUAGUGGGCCAAGCGGGGGGUCUGUUCGACCCUUAAAUUCUUACA